AGUCUUGUCUGAUAGCCAAGGAUGACUUGCCUGCUCCUAACCAUUUUUGGGUUGUGAUCCAAUUUGCAUUAUCAAUAUAAACAUAACCCUUGUGUAGGUUUACCAGGCAGUCACCUUGGCUAAUUUGACAGGCUCU
rnacentral:pre_miRNA from 9 species